AUUGAACGCUGGCGGCAUGCUUUACACAUGCAAGUCGAACGGUAACAGGGAGCUUGCUCCGCUGACGAGUGGCGAACGGGUGAGUAAUGCAUCGGAACGUACCCAGUCGUGGGGGAUAACGUAGCGAAAGUUACGCUAAUACCGCAUACGUCCUGAGGGAGAAAGCGGGGGACCGUAAGGCCUCGCGCGAUUGGAGCGGCCGAUGUCGGAUUAGCUAGUUGGUAGGGUAAAGGCCUACCAAGGCGACGAUCCGUAGCGGGUCUGAGAGGAUGAUCCGCCACACUGGGACUGAGACACGGCCCAGACUCCUACGGGAGGCAGCAGUGGGGAAUUUUGGACAAUGGGCGAAAGCCUGAUCCAGCCAUGCCGCGUGAGUGAAGAAGGCCUUCGGGUUGUAAAGACUCUUUCAGGUGGAAAGAAACUUACCGGUGAAUACCCGGAGGAGUGACGGUACCGA
rnacentral:rRNA from 1 species